rnacentral:rRNA from 1 species
AGCGAACGCUGGCGGCAGGCUUAACACAUGCAAGUCGAGCGGGCGUAGCAAUACGUCAGCGGCAGACGGGUGAGUAACGCGUGGGAACGUACCUUUUGGUUCGGAACAACACAGGGAAACUUGUGCUAAUACCGGAUAAGCCCUUACGGGGAAAGAUUUAUCGCCGAAAGAUCGGCCCGCGUCUGAUUAGCUAGUUGGUGAGGUAACGGCUCACCAAGGCGACGAUCAGUAGCNGGUCUGAGAGGAUGAUCAGCCACAUUGGGACUGAGACACGGCCCAAACUCCUACGGGAGGCAGCAGUGGGGAAUAUUGGACAAUGGGCGCAAGCCUGAUCCAGCCAUGCCGCGUGAGUGAUGAAGGCCCUAGGGUUGUAAAGCUCUUUUGUGCGGGAAGAUAAUGACGGUACCGCAAGAAUAAGCCCCGGCUAACUUCGUGCCAGCCGCCGCGGU